rnacentral:rRNA from 1 species
ACUCCUACGGGAGGCAGCAGUAGGGAAUAUUGGUUAAUGUGCGAAAGCGCGAACCAGCAACGCCGCGUGUGCGAUGAAGGCCUUCGGGUCGUAAAGCACUUUUUGCAGGGAAGAGGAAGGACGGUACCUGCAGAAUAAGUCUCGGCUAACUACGUGCCAGCAGCCGCGGUAAAACGUAGGAGACGAGCGUUAUCCGGAUUUACUGGGCGUAAAGCGCGUGCAGGCGGCAUGGCAAGUUGGAUGUGAAAGCUCCCGGCUUAACUGGGAGAGGUCGUUCAAUACUGCCAGGCUUGAGAGUGGUAGAGGGAAGCGGAAUUCCGGGUGUAGUGGUGAAAUGCGUAGAUAUCCGGAGGAACACCAGUGGCGAAAGCGGCUUCCUGGCCCAUUUCUGACGCUCAGACGCGAAAGCUAGGGUAGCAAACGGGAUUAGAGACCCCGGUAGUCCUAGCCGUAAACGAUGUGAACUUGGCGUUGGCGGGUUUAAAUCCGUCAGUGCCGUAGCUAACGCGAUAAGUUCACCGCCUGGGGACUACGGCCGCAAGGUUAAAACUCAAAGGAAUUGACGG